UGGGGAAUUUUGGACAAUGGGCGAAAGCCUGAUCCAGCAAUGCCGCGUGUGUGAAGAAGGCCUUCGGGUUGUAAAGCACUUUUGUCCGGAAGGAAAUCCUUGGCUCUAAUACAGUCGGGGGAUGACGGUACCGGAGGAAUAAGCACCGGCUAACUACGUGCCAGCAGCCGCGGUAAUACGUAGGGUGCAAGCGUUAAUCGGAAUUACUGGGCGUAAAGCGUGCGCAGGCGGUUUGCUAAGACCGAUGUGAAAUCCCCGGGCUCAACCUGGGAACUGCAUGGUGACUGGCAGGCUAGAGUAUGGCAGAGGGGGGUAGAAUUCCACGUGUAGCAGUGAAAUGCGUAGAGAUGUGGAGGAAUACCGAUGGCGAAGGCAGCCCCCUGGGCCAAUACUGACGCUCAUGCACGAAAGCGUGGGGAGC
rnacentral:rRNA from 1 species